UAGCAUAUGCAUUACUCCCGUUCCUAGCACGAGGGUUGCGGGUAUAAUCUUCAAAAGGAUCUCCUGUUACAGGGAUGAAAUAGAACAUCAGAAGUUUGGCUUAAGGUUAAACAUAGAUCUAGAAACAUUAGUGGCAAAGCAUAAAAAAUUGAGGUUCCACUGAAUGCGAAAAGGAGCACUACGGGAUACAGUAGAUUUGCCGAUUAUAUGUUUAAUGCACCAUGCCAUGCCAUAAAUGAUAAAAAUCUACAUAAUGACAGGGGCUAGCAGAAGUUGUAGCCAAGAGUUAUCAUCAAAAGAAGAGGUUUUGCCAAGAUUAGAUUAUAACUAAAACACAGAACCAUCCAAUACUACUGUUUGCAAGUUGCAACUAUUUGCAUAUUAGCAAACAAAAAAAAAUUUAGCAAACAACUCGAAGAGUGCUUCAGACCUAUUUCAGAAAAUGAUUCAUCAAGGGAACUGAUUAUUCAUAAAAUGAAUAAAAUUCUAGGAGAAGAUAAUAGACACAAAAUAAAUAAAUGUGUAAAAACUCUUAAGCAUUGAGACAUUGCAAAAACAACUACUCCCUCCAUCCAAGAAUAUAGCUAGGUACAUUAAGGGUUAAAUCUUUUUUCCAAAUAUAACUACAAUUUGAAUUCCCAACCCACCUCAAAGUACCGUUACAGAUUUAUCUCCCUACGGCCUUCGUAUUGGAAAAAACAAAAUCGGCACCGCAUGCCGACUGCGCCCCUCUCCCUACCGC
rnacentral:lncRNA from 1 species